UGCAGUUGAUUGGGUGGUGUAACAGCUAUCCAAGGCAUUUAUUAGAUCAAAACCAACUACUGUAGUGUGGCCGAAAGCUGCACUGUGGUGAGGUGAAUCUAGAUAACUUUGCAGAUCGUAUGGCCUUGUGCCGGCGACGUUUCAAUUGAAUUUCUGCCCUAUCAACUUGUUGGUAAGGUAGUGGCUUACCAAGGUUACAACGGGUAACGGGGAAUCAGGGUUCGAUUCCGGAGAGGGAGCCUGAGAAAUGGCUACCACAUCCAAGGGAGGCAGCAGGCGCGCAAAUUACCCAAUCCAGAAUCUGGGAGGUGGUGACGAGAAAUACUAGAUGGUUUCCUUUUAGGAUGCCAUACUGGAAUGGACGUUAUCUAGAAAAUUCGAUGAGUAACAACUGGAGGGCAAGUCUGGUGCCAGCAGCCGCGGUAAUUCCAGCUCCAGUAGUGUAUACUAAAGUUGCUGCGUUUAAAACGCUCGUAGUUGGAUUACGCAGGAUGAGCUAGUCGAUCGGCGAAGCAGUACACUAAAUCUGGUGGGCCGUGUAUGAUCCGUGGAAAUCCCGGAGGAGUAUGCGGUCGAUCAGAGUGCUGCGCGUCGAUUAACAGCUAGCUCAUGCUACUUUUACGUGAGAAUGGUGAUUGACCUUGAGUGAGUUGAUCAUUGUGUCUUACGAAGUGUGCCUUGAAUUAAUCAGAGUGCUCAAAGCAGGCAAUAGCUUGAAUGUUAAUAGCAUGGAACGAACAGUUGUGUUUUAUGCGCCCUGAGUUGUGGCGUGCGUGGGCUCUUGUCUGCGUAUGUUGCGAUUUGGGGUGCUGCACCAACCGCCAAUGACGGAUGUUGGUUUCCGUAUUGGGGUGAUGAUUAAAAGGAGCGGUUGGGGGCAUUGGUAUUUGGCAGCGAGAGGUGAAAUUAA
rnacentral:rRNA from 1 species